rnacentral:rRNA from 2 species
CCAGGCUACCCGCUGAAUUUAAGCAUAUCAAUAAGCGGAGGAAAAGAAACUAACCAGGA